rnacentral:lncRNA from 1 species
CUCAUAGCCUCUUUCUUUGGCUUGUACGAUGUACUCAUCAAUCUCCCUUUCUUUAGAAGAAAGAAGAGGGUGGAGAAAUUUCCUGUACAUUAAACUCGCCCCUCUAGUAUAUGGAGAAAGGAGCCAAAUAACAAAAGCAAUCUUCAGCUCAUAAUACAGUGGAAACCAAGAGAUGGUUAGAUCAGUUAUUGUUUCAGUAACUGUAUAAAGAGCAAAUACAAUCCAAUACAUCAUCCAG